rnacentral:sRNA from 1 species
GAAUGAAGUGUGCCUAGGUACAGUCCUCUGACAGUCCUAAGGGUGGAGCCAUUUAGCUUAGCCCUGGAAAAACGAUUCCAAAGACUCAUGCUGCUACCAGGACCACAGGUGCUAGCAAAUGCUCUCAGUCCUUCCUGUCAUCAUAAGAUGGAAAGUGCCUUGAUGAACAGGUACUCGGGAAGGAUGGGAAUUCAGAGGACACUAUUUUCUAAGGUGGUGGCUAUCAAAGCCUAUACUGUGGCACAUUUUAGAUUCUUUAGUCUGGGCUGACCUGCCUUCGGUGACAGUGGGAUAUAUGAUUAUUCCUGCCUGGGUGCAGGGCUGAGCCUCCUGUUUUCGUAGACAGUCAUGUUCACGGCCACCAUGCCCCCAGCGGUGGAGCGUCUGGCCAGGAGUUAUCUUCGGCGACCUGCUGUGGUGUACAUUGGCUCUGCAGGCAAGCCCCAUGAGCGUGUGGAACAGAAGGUCUUUCUCAUGUCAGAGUCAGAAAAGAGGAAGAAGCUGCUGGCAAUCUUGGAGCAAGGCUUUGACCCACCCAUCAUUAUUUUUGUCAACCAGAAGAAGGGCUGCGACGUGUUGGCCAAAUCCCUGGAGAAGAUGGGGUACAAUGCUUGCACACUGCACGGUGGAAAAGGCCAGGAGCAGCGAGAGUUUGCAUUGUCCAACCUCAAGGCUGGGGCCAAGGAUAUUUUGGUGGCUACAGAUG